CCAGUGCACACGUUAACCAUUCUGAUGAUGCUUUCUUUCAUGUUUGCAUCCUGGUGUCCUGGUAUUCAACAAUGUCAUCAGGGCCGGCCCAACUACAUGGGCAAGUUGGGCUUAGGCCCAGGGCAUCAAAAAAAUGGGGGCAUAUUUUUUAUGCAGCAAGUCAUAAUAUAUCUAUGUAAUUUUGGCCCAAAAAUUAAACCCAAUUACUCCAAUAGUCCAAUCCAAUAAUAAUCAACCUUAGGGGCAUUACCGAUUCAACGAUUCUUGACCUUGAGCGCCAAGUUGAGUAGCGCAAUCGUCAGUUGAAGCAGUCGGGAGAUCUAGGAGACGGUCGUCGGUCGACCAAUGUUCAAAUGGAUUCAACGUAUUUGUUGUUUGGGCAUCGCCGAUUUAGCCGAUUCUCAUUCCUUCCUCUUAAUUUCUUAUUCAGUAUUCUUCUCAAUUUCUUAUUCAAUCAAUCAUUCUCUAAAACUUAUAGCCUAUACGUUCAAUCAAUCUUUCAACAUCUGAUUUUUGAUUUCUAAUUACCGAGUUCGACAACAAACGAAGGGCGGAAGGGAACCAAGAAAUCAAACACAACCCGUGACUGGAGACACAAUUGACUGUGAUUUCUAUUCUUCAUUCUCAUAAACUCGAAUUUUGGACUUGGAAAUUGGAAAUUUCUAUUGUUUUCAAAUCGAAAAUGAAGUGAACAACAGUUUCUGAAUUCUCUUUUUAGUUCUCAUCUUCUGCUCUUCAACUGAUUAGGGACUUGGGACUUGGGAGGCUGAUUUUUGUUUAUUUUGAAAUCUUGAAAUCUACUGCUUUGUAUUUUAGUAUCUUGAAAGAUUAUCGGCAUCUUUAAAGUGGGAAAUAAAAACGAAAACUUUGGCCA